GGAGGUAGAUGGAGCUUGCUCUAUGUACCUUAGCAGCGAACGGGUGAGUAACACGUAGAUAAUCUGUCCUAUAUUGGGGGAUAGCCCGAUGAAAGUUGGAUUAAUACCGCAUACAGCUAUAUAGUUGCAUGAUUAUAUAGUGAAAGAUUUAUUGAUAUAGGAGGAGUCUGCGGCACAUUAGCUAGUAGGUGAGGUAAGAGCUUACCUAGGCGACGAUGUGUAGCCGGUCUGAGAGGAUGAACGGCCACAAUGGAACUGAGACACGGUCCAUACUCCUACGGGAGGCAGCAGUGGGGAAUAUUGCACAAUGGGGGAAACCCUGAUGCAGCAACGCCGCGUGAGUGAAGAAGGUUUUCGGAUUGUAAAGCUCUGUUAGCAGGGAAGAGGAAGGACGGUACCUGCAGAGGAAGCCACGGCUAACUACGUGCCAGCAGCCGCGGUAAUACGUAGGUGGCAAGCGUUGUUCGGAAUAACUGGGCGUAAAGGAUGCGUAGGCGGUUAAAUAAGUUAUAUGUUAAAUAUAUAGGCUUAACCUGUAGAAAGCAUAUAAAACUGUUUAACUAGAGUGCAGGAGAGGUAAGUGGAAUUCCUAGUGUAGCGGUGAAAUGCGUAGAGAUUAGGAAGAACACCAGUGGCGAAGGCGACUUACUGGACUGUAACUGACGCU
rnacentral:rRNA from 1 species